rnacentral:tRNA from 1 species
GGAGGGAUGCCGGAGCGGCCAAUCGGAGCAGACUGUAAAUCUGCCGCCCUAAGGGCUACGCAGGUUCGAAUCCUGCUCCCUCCACUA